CGGCCUCAGAUGGUAGGACACCCAAGUCG
rnacentral:rRNA from 1 species